rnacentral:rRNA from 1 species
UGCGGAGGAUCAUUAUCGAAAUUAUAGGUGAGGGUUGUAGCUGGCCUCUCGGGGCAUGUGCACGCCCGAGCCCUUAAUCCACACACACCUGUGAACCUAUUGUAAGGGCCCUUAAAAAAGGCCUUUACGUCUUAUCAUCAACCCAUCGUAUGUCUCAUAGAAUGUAAAUAUAUGUCCUCGCCUUAAAAAGCGUUGAUAAACUUAUACAACUUUCAACAACGGAUCUCUUGGCUCUCGCAUCGAUGAAGAACGCAGCGAAAUGCGAUAAGUAAUGUGAAUUGCAGAUUUUCAGUGAAUCAUCGAAUCUUUGAACGCACCUUGCGCUCCUUGGUAUUCCGAGGAGCAUGCCUGUUUGAGUGUCAUUAAAUUCUCAACUCUGAUCGAUUUGUUUCGACUUCGGAGCUUGGAUUUGGAGCGUGCUGGCGUCGGUCGGCUCCUCUUAAAUGCAUCAGCGGAAUCUAACGUUUCGGACGUCAGUGUGAUAAUCAUGUUGCGCUGUCUGUCUGAUCCGAAAGCCCGCUCAC